AACAAACGCAAAGGAAGAGCUGACUAUACAUACAUAUAAAAUACACAAUAUACAUAUAUAUAUUAGGGUUUAUAUAUAAAAAUCUGUAUCUGUCUAUUUCACAUCCGCUCUCUCACUCAAACCAUACUUCCAAACCCUCGUGAAGUCCCAGCGAUUCCGAUAAUCGAACUCUAGGGUUUGUCUUCGUAUUCUUAAAUUUCUUCGCUUGGAAUAUAUGAAACUUCAUGUGAGGCUCGUUGGACUCUUCAAUUGAUUAAUGUUCUUUUGCUAGCAAGGUUGAAGGUUUUAUGCAGCAAAUUAGCGGAGUUUGAUUGAUUUAUUAAUAAAGUUUAGCUGCUUAAAAUGUAUGGUCAGGGUAAUUAUGGACCUCAGUUUGGGCCAGGUUCCGAAACACCCAUGUCUCAAUUCCAACACCGCCCUAUGGUUCCUCCUCCUCCUCCUCCUCCUCCUCCUUUCCAGCAGGGCCCUCCAGCUUCACAACCUUCUUUAAUACAACAAGUUCCUCCAUCUAUUCCACCUCACAUUGUUCCUUCUGGCCCUGCUUUGUAUCAACAUGCUCCACCUCCCCCAGCUCAGCAAGGCCCGACUAUGCAAGUCCCAACAAGUGGAAUGUUGAAUGCAGGGCAAUCUUACUUGCUACCGCCCCCGCCCCCACCCUCACCCCAGCAAUUCCAUGGAAAUACCUCUAUGGCACAUACGCAGCAGAACUCCCAAUGGACCCAUAAUAUGCAUCAUAUUCCACCACCUGUCCCUCCUCCUCUUGGUCCAAGUAGCUCAGAAAUGUGCCGGCAAUCAUUACCUCCUAGAAUAUUACCCACACCUUCACAAGGGCAAACUCCACAUAGAGGCCCAAUUCAUCUACAGCAGCCAGAUAGUGUGCAGGGUACUCAACAAAUCCCACUGCCACCACCACCUCCACCGCCCCCACCCACAUCUAGUUUCUUCACUUCUGCUCCAUUUGGAUCUUUUGUGCAUUCAGCCCAUCAGGAUCCCGGGGCAUUGCCACCGCCGCCGCCACUACCGUCAUCUCCUCCACCCCUUCCACCUUCUCCACCACCGCCUACAUCUCCCCCUCCUUUUGGAGCCCUGCCUUCUACACCUCUACUUACUGCUUUUGACUUGUCCUGUAAUUCCAAAUCAGGUCCAACUUCCAAUCAUUCAGGCUUUGAAGUGAUGGCAUCUGAUUCUGUUAAUGAAGUUGUGGUUUCCACCCAAAUCAGAGAUGAUGCACCUGUGUUUGAUGACUAUAAAAAUUUUGAAGGCAUGAUCAGCUGUGAGGUGGGUUCCAUUGUGAAAGACGAUUUAUCAGCUGUGGAAGGUACAAAAUUGGAUCUACCUCCACCCAAGCCGGUGGAAGAGAAAGUUGUGCGGAAAAUUGAAAUUCUAUGUCAUUUUAUUGCAAAGAACGGUCGUGGUUUUGAAGAUAUGGCUCGUCAGAAAGAGUCGGGGAAUCCUGAGUUUGAAUUUUUGUUUGGUGGUGAGCCAGGAAGUGAAGCUGCAGUUGCACAUGAAUAUUUUGAAAGGAUGAAAAAGAAAUGUAUUUUGCAGCACGAGCAUAGUAAUUCAGCCUUAGGGCCUUCAGACAUUGACACUUUAACGCAAACUAAUUUUUUGAUGGAUGCAGGUGUAUCCCAUUCACCAACUGAUUCUGACAUGGAUAUGGAAGAUGAUAUCACCCAGCCUGAUGCAGAGCAGCGGGUUUAUACCUCAUUUGAAAGUCUGAAUCCUGAGACUGUAUUGAUACCCAAAGAGCUUGAUAUUCGAGAGCAGUUAUGUGCAUCACAGAAUGCUGAUGAAUAUAGUCCUGUGAAGGACAAUGCAUCCAGGUCCUCGGGACUGGAUGGCCAAGAAAAAGGGUCCAAACUCUUUCCUGAUCAUGAUCACUUUACCUUUGGAAGGUCACUUUCCAAAGUUGAUAGCUCUAUCAUGAAUUCAGAUGGAAGCCCCUCAAACAGCGAUGUAGAAAAAUCUUCUGUUCCACUCCUAGAAGAUUUAACUCAAUCCAACGUGUCAGAAGCUGCAGGAGGUGUUCGGUCUGAGAAAUUUCCUGGUGAACUCGUCAAAGGUGCUAGCCCUUUCAGACUUUUACAAGACUAUGCUUCUGAUGAUAGUUCAGAAGAUGAUGAGAAGCCUUGUCUUGAAGAUGUGAGCCCUGUAACAGUUUCACCAUUGACUACAGCAGGUGCUACAAGUUUGCACGGAGAUAUAGGAUCUAAUUUACGGACAGAUCCAGCAUCGAAGGAUCUCUCAAGCUCUGAGAUGGCAUUUGGAAUAUUGUCCGAGUCUGUUGUGGCAUGUCCUUCGAGCAUGCCAUUAAAUGCUUGGGAUUUCCCCCCAGAAUCACUAAGGAAUGCUAGGAAAACAACAAUAACAUCCAUUGCAACUGUUAAAACAGAAGAAAUGGUUGGAAAUAACAGUGAAAAUAAAGUAUCUAUUAAAAAUGCUGCUUCUGAGGCUUUGCAACAAAAAGAUGCCUUUGAUGGUGUUGAUGCUGCUGCUGCUUCUGCUGCUGAGAGUGUCAAGUCUCAGUCUCGGAAGGAAGAUGUUAAAAAUACGUCUACUCUCCCAAAAGUUGAUGAGUUUGGUAGAUUAGUCAGAGAAGGUGCUAGUGACAGUGACUCUGAUGAAUCACGCUAUACUGGAAGGCGUGGUAAGAGAGGGAGAAGUUGGAGCCGAAGCCGAUCCCCUCAUGAUAGGAGGAGGAAGAGUCCCCGGAGGAGAAGGGUGAAGAAGCGAAGCCGGUCUCGCAGUUGGUCUCCCAAAAAACGAAGCAGGAGCAGGUCUCCCACGUAUAGGCGCGGGGUUGAAUCUGGUGGUGACAAAAUGAGAUGGAACAGGGGUCAGCCUCCAGCAUGUUUUGACUUUCUUCGAGGCAGGUGCCACCGUGGAGCAUUUUGUCGGUAUGUGCAUGACAUUGACAAGAGUGAUGGUGCAAGACGCUAUAGGAGCAAACAUCAGUAUCUGGAAGUUCCACCUGUUUCAAGGACUUCUGAUUUUCAUGAAGAGAUUGAGAAAACCCUGCCUAAAAGAUCAGUUCAUGAGCAGGAUAUGCCUGAAAGCAGUUUUGGUGCUCUGAAGGAUGAGAACAUGGACGCGGGGAAAAUAUUAGUUUCUGUGCAAACUAGAAUUUCUAAUCAAGAUGACAAGUCUUUGGUUGCUGAAGUGGCUAAAUCUGAGAGGUCUGUAGAGGUAACCGCAGUCGUGCAGGAUACUCGAGAUAUUAAAGAAGAGAUACAGGAAUCCUUUUCCGGAUGUCCUGAUCAUGAAAAUUCCAUUUCCGGACGUCCUGAUCAUGAAAAUUGUCCAGAACAAAUAGAAACUGUUCAGCCUGUUGAUGGUUCUCCCUCUUGUCUGUUAACUGAUGAUGUUGGUGCCCCAACAUCACCUGGUGAUACUGCUCAUGGCAUAGCUUUGGUUGAAAAGUUGGUGAUUCCGCAUCCUCAAGCUAAUCUCUCUCUUCCAGUGCUUCAGAACACCGAUUACCAUUCUCAGUAUGCAGAUGACUGUUCUACAUCUGAAUUUUCACAACUUCAGAAAUCAAUAACCUUUCAAAAUCAGCUUUCAGUUAGUGAACCUCUUCUGAAUAAGAUCUCUUCAGUUCAGAAUCAUGGUACAGGUUCUAUUAACCAAUCAUUUUCAUCUCAAUCCCUGCCUCCUAAGGAGUUCACUCCAGUCAUUCUUCCUGCUGUGGAUUUUCCAGUUCAUCAUUUGCAUUUACCGCCUCCCCCUCCCUCAUUUUCACAAGGCACAAGUAUCCCUCAUGUGCCACAGCUGCCCAGGGAACACGAUUUGACGCAACCAACUUUGAAAUUUUCAUCUCUCUCUCCUCAUAUGGAAAACUGUCCUCCUUAUCAAGGUUCAAUGCAAAACCAGAAUUCCCAUUUUGCAAUGCCACCAAACUACUCUUGGUCCCUGCCACCACCACCGCCGUUGCCUCCCCGACCAUCAUUUGUUAACAAUUCAGCUGUAAAUGCAGCAACUGCAAUGCAAGGUGUUCCUUUGUUACAAUUUCAACAGAAUCAGCUGCCUCCAAGAAAUGAUUUAACUUCGUUGACUUUUUUAAGGCCUUACCCACAUGAACUGCCUGCUCAUUCUCAGGUGGGUGAGUUUCACCAUCACAACUACUCUCUAAUGCAAGGGCCAGAGCCUCCUCAACGUUCCUUGCACAUGAAAGAUUUCAGACCAAAAACUCUCCCUAUGAGCAACCCAGUGAGUCAACCAUUUGGAAGUACAGGUCUUGUUGGAGAAGAUCACUUCUCACAGUUUCCAGUUCAGGGUUUAAAUCCUCCAAAUUCAUUUGCUCACAGCAACAUACCCCCUCAACCUUUGCCUUCUCUGAGGGAUUCAGCAUCAAGGACAAUGCAGUCUUUCCCAGGUGACAACCUGUCUUCAGGAAGAUUUUUUAGUUCAUCUCCUCAGAAUCAUACUUACUCGCAACAUCAAAGGCCACUCUAUGGUCUGCAGCGGCCUUCUGCUGAUGGUCUUGCUGAAAAUUUGGGUGAUUAUGGAAACAUUAAUCCUUCCUUGUCAAGAUAUACAUCAGAUAUUCUUGACAAGAAUCAGCCAUCUCACCUGUCUGAUUUUGGAGGGUCAAGAAUUUCAAACUACUACAAUCCUUAUGCUUCCACUUUUGACCAGCCACUAAGGUCCAAAUUCAGCUCUAAUGUUUUCAAUCCAGAAAAGGACAUGCCCCACAGUAAUUUAGGUGAUGCUCCUUACAGUUUGAGCCAUGUUCCAGCUGAUGGACAUGGUGUUGGAAGUCUUGGUUCUAGACACAUGAAAUCCUCACCAAAGUCUUCCAGGCCUGCUGAUUUACCUAGGUCAGGCAGUGAUCAGUAUGAUCCACUUUUUGACAGCAUUGAGCCAUCUGAAAACUCAUUGAAGAAAUUUGAUUAUGAUCCGAAGCAUCAACCCACUGGUUCCCAGAAGCUAUUAGACGUGGAAGAAGAAAGGAAGAAAGAUGUUGGAGUUGUUACGGUAACUACAUCAGUAAAAAGUGAAAAUGAUGAAUAUGGCGAGACAGCAGAUGCAGAAGUGGAUGAUGUGGACAAUGCAAGUGCAAGCAAUCCACUUGAUGCAACAAAUACAUCAGCGGGAGAGAUUGAGAUUGAUCAAAUUAAGACGCCAGGGAAGAGCAAGAAGAGUAAAGAUUCAAGAUCAAUGAAACUUUUCAAGGUAGCCCUUGCAGAUUUUGUGAAGGAGGUGCUAAAGCCAUCCUGGCGACAGGGUAGUAUGAGCAAGGAGGCAUUUAAGACGAUUGUCAAGAAGACUAUUGACAAGGUGUCUGGAGCUAUGAAGAGCCACCAAAUACCUAAGUCUCAGGCGAAGAUUAAUCAUUAUAUUGACUCAUCACAGCGGAAACUCACUAAACUUGUGAUGGGCUAUGUUCAGAAGUAUGUCAAAGUAUAGAAGUUGAUGUCAGCUUUUGUUUCAGCACAUGAUGGAAGAAAAUUUUGAUUUGAACUACUAUGGAAAGGGGAAUCUGCAGUUGUUGCGAGGAAAUGUGAGCACGUGCUCUGAUGUGUAGAGUUUGUAGCUGGCAAUGUACCCAUAAAAUGUCAUGACACAUUAGAAGAUUAACUUGGGAAAAUCGGUUCCAAACUCAGUAAGUUCUGAGGAAACUCAAAUCUUGUAUGUAAUGCACCUAAUGAUUUUGAUCAGUGUUUUUUAGGCGAUGGUUCUUUUUUUUUUUUUUUUUUUUGAACAACAAAGAAUUUUUUGAGUACAAGCAAGAAAAAAAGAGAGAACAAGGAGUCCUCAUACAAUGAAAGAUACCAAAGAAAAGAAAAAGAAAAAGGAAUUAACGAGAAAAUUCCAAUCACUAAGAAUGACAAAUAAUAGUCCAAUCCCUAGAAAUCAAGAAAAAUGGAGCUCCUUUAAAAGGAGGAGACACAAAAGCCCGAAAUGAAGCUAAAUAUCCCGCCUAAUCCCGUAAAGAUUCUGCAUAUGACUCCUUUCCAUCAAAUAUUUGUGUGUUCUUUUCAGCCAAAUAAACCCAAAGAUAGCUAAAACAAUAAAAGAUUACAAUGUUUCGGCUCUCUUAUUGCUGCCAAACCCUUUGAACCUAACAAGAAGCAUGUGUGUGUACUCCCUCGGAGCAACCCACUGAUCAUCACACAAACCAAAAAGACGCUGCCAUAAUAAAAGAGCCACUGGACAAUGAAGAGAUAAAUGAUCCGCCAAUUCCCAAUUCCGAAUUCGGAUAGCAUGUCACGCGCCAUUGAGGACACAAAAAAUAAUUAGGCCUUCUCCUUUGGAAGAGAUCAUUGGUCAUGACACCUCCUUGAGCUACGGACUACAUGAAAAAUUUUACUUUAUGAGGAACAACCGCUUUCCAAAUUUCCAAAUUUUCUUAUGAAGAAAGAAACAAAGGAACAAAAGGUUUAUCAAUGAGUUUGUCAAACAAAGAUUUACAUGAGAAAAUCCUUGAAGAGAUGAUAUUCCAAACCCUUUUAUCGCUGGAAGAAGAUGAAGAAAUCCUAUCAAUCAAUGACAACAAAACUGCCAAUUCAAGACUCUUAUCGCUUAAAUUCUUAAGGAAAUUGAAAUUCCAAGAGAUUGGUGCCACGUUAGAAGAUGCCACUGAUGUAAUUGAAACAUUUUGAGAACGGACCAAUCUAUAUAGAAGUGGAAAAGCUCUAUCAAAAGAGAUAUCCCCUGUCUAAACAUCUGUCCCAAACCGGAUGCUAACCCCAUUACCUACUUUCAAAGAUAAGAAACUAGACACUAGUGGGGACAAACGAGAUUUAGACUACUAAGGAGAACGAUAAUUGUCUCUACUAACCGCAAUAGAAUCUCUGCCAUUGGCAUGAAUUCUAUACUUGCUUUUAAUAAUGAAACACCAUAACGAUUCACGUUUGGCAAGAAAUCUCCAUAACUACUUGCUCAAGAGAGCAAUAUUCCUAUCAACAAUACUCCCUAUAGCAAGACCCCCUUUAUACCUGGGAAGAGAGACAACCUCCCACUUAACUAAGUGAUCCCAUUUACCCUCAUCACACCCUUCCCAAAGAAAGUCUCAUCAAUUUCUCAAAUUUUUUUUUUUUUGCAAGCUUGACUGGGGAUCUUGAACAAAGACAAAGUAAAUAGGAAUGCAACUCAACACGAACUGCACCAAAAUGUAUCCCUCCCCCUACAACAACAGACAACAAUGCUCACUUCCACCCCUCCAAUAUUUUCCCAAUCAUAACAAGGACAAGGUUUCAAAAAGUCUCUGCUCUAGGAUUUCCCCCCAAUGAAAGUCCCAAAUACUUAAAAAGGAAACUUCUCAAUGGGACAACUUAACAUGAUUGCCAUGUGGCCAUGCUCCCACCCAAUAGCAGGGGGACACAUGGCCAUCUUGUCUGAAGAAGAAGGGAACAAUGUGGUUGAAUGCCCCUCUGCUAUUGGGAGGAUAAUUUUUCCUCAUCAAGACACUGGAUUCUUACAUUUUCAGUGUAGUCAGUAGCAUUGAAAAGAUUGAAAUGAAAAUGAAUCAGUAGCAUUUUUUUUACAGAGUAAUCUAAUGUGUUUUUAUUAUUAUUUUUUUCUUUAUGAUUCAACACAGAUCUCCCCUAUCCAUGUUAGGUUAUUUUAUUUUGUUGGACAUUGUUCACGAUCAUAUGUACUGGAAAAAGAAAGAAAAAUAUAUGAUAUUGAAAUUCUUUAAAGGAAUGCUAGAGUUUUUGAUGGGAAAUGUGAAGAUAUUGAGAGUUUGUGGGAAGGAAAUUGUUUUUUGGCAUCUUUCUGGAUUUCAAUGCCGCCUCCUUUUGAAGGGAUCCCUCUUUUUCUUGUUUCUAGGGAUUGGAGAGCUGCUUGUAGAAUGUGAGAUGUUUUUUUCUGUUUGUACUUUCUUCUUUUCUUGCUUGCCUUCUUUGUACUUCAUCUUUUUUUCUUAAUAUAGUUUUAGCUUUUAUUUUUGACAAAAAGAAAGAAAGAAAGAAAGAAAGAAAUAAA